rnacentral:rRNA from 1 species
UGAGCAAUCUGCCCUUCUCAUCGGAAUAAGCGUUGGAAACGACGUCUAAUGCCGAAUACGAACUCCUUUCGCAUGAUCGGAGGUGGAAAGCUCCGGCGGAGAGGGAUGAGCUCGCGGCCUAUCAGCUAGUUGGUGUGGGUAAUGGCCCACCAAGGCGACGGACGGGUAGCCGGCCUGAGAGGGUGACCCGGCCACACUGGGACUGAGACACCGGCCCAGACCUCCGUACGGGGAGCAG